rnacentral:rRNA from 1 species
AUACGGAGGGUGCAAGCGUUAAUCGGAAUUACUGGGCGUAAAGCGUGCGUAGGUGGUUAAUUAAGUUAUCUGUGAAAUCCCUGGGCUCAACCUGGGCAGGUCAGAUAAUACUGGUUUAACUCGAGUAUGGGAGAGGGUAGUGGAAUUUCCGGUGUAGCGGUGAAAUGCGUAGAGAUCGGAAGGAACACCAGUGGCGAAGGCGGCUACCUGGCCUAAUACUGACACUGAGGCACGAAAGCGUGGGGAGC